rnacentral:rRNA from 1 species
UACGUAGGGUGCGAGCGUUAAUCGGAAUUACUGGGCGUAAAGCGUGCGCAGGCGGUCUGUUAAGACCGAUGUGAAAUCCCCGGGCUUAACCUGGGAACUGCAUUGGUGACUGGCAGGCUUUGAGUGUGGCAGAGGGAGGUAGAAUUCCACGUGUAGCAGUGAAAUGCGUAGAGAUGUGGAGGAAUACCGAUGGCGAAGGCAGCCCCCUGGGCCAAUACUGACGCUCAUGCACGAAAGCGUGGGGAGCAAACAGG